rnacentral:rRNA from 1 species
UACGGAGGGGACUAGCGUUGUUCGGAAUUACUGGGCGUAAAGCGCACGUAGGCGGCUUUGUAAGUUAGAGGUGAAAGCCCGGGCUCAACUCCGGAAUUGCCUUUAAGACUGCAUCGCUAGAAUUGUGGAGAGGUAAGUGGAAUUCCGAGUGUAGAGGUGAAAUUCGUAGAUAUUCGGAAGAACACCAGUGGCGAAGGCGGCUCACUGGUCCGGUUCUGACGCUGAGGCGCGAAAGCGUGGGGAGCAAACAGG